GUGGGGAAUAUUGGACAAUGGGGGGAACCCUGAUCCAGCCAUGCCGCGUGUGUGAAGAAGGCCUUUUGGUUGUAAAGCACUUUAAGCGAGGAGGAGGCUACCGAGAUUAAUACUCUUGGAUAGUGGACGUUACUCGCAGAAUAAGCACCGGCUAACUCUGUGCCAGCAGCCGCGGUAAUACAGAGGGUGCAAGCGUUAAUCGGAUUUACUGGGCGUAAAGCGCGCGUAGGUGGCCAAUUAAGUCAAAUGUGAAGUCCCCGGGCUUAACUUGGGAAUUGCAUUCGAUACUGGUUGGCUAGAGUAUGGGAGAGGAUGGUAGAAUUCCAGGUGUAGCGGUGAAAUGCGUAGAGAUCUGGAGGAAUACCGAUGGCGAAGGCAGCCAUCUGGCCUAAUACUGACACUGAGGUGCGAAAGCAUGGGGAGCAAACAGGAUUAGAAACCCUUGUAGUCC
rnacentral:rRNA from 1 species